UACGUAGGGUGCAAGCGUUAAUCGGAAUUACUGGGCGUAAAGCGUGCGCAGGCGGUGAUGUAAGACAGGUGUGAAAUCCCCGGGCUUAACCUGGGAACUGCAUUUGUGACUGCAUCGCUGGAGUGCGGCAGAGGGGGAUGGAAUUCCGCGUGUAGCAGUGAAAUGCGUAGAUAUGCGGAGGAACACCGAUGGCGAAGGCAAUCCCCUGGGUUAACACUGACGCUCAGGCACGGAAAGGCGUGGGGAGCAAACAGG
rnacentral:rRNA from 1 species